UGUGUUGAGUCUGAUUCGAGUGGUGCAGAUAUUUCCAGUGCUUCUGGAUCACUUCAGUCUCAAUAGAUAAAUUUGAAUGAAAACCCUCUUGAAGAGGUUGAGUCUUAUUCGAGUGAUGCAGAUAUUUCCAAUACUUCUAGAUCACUCGAGCCUCAGCAGAUGAAUUUGAGUGAAGACUUUCCUGAAGAGGUUGAGUCUGCUGUUUCAUCUGUUCAUAAGCAGGCAGUUACUCCAAAAAAGUCGCCAUCCUCUAUGAUACGAGCAAAUAAUACUGUGAGCCUUAUAAAUCAAUGUAUCAAAAACAAGGCUCUGAAAACCAGAAUCUAGAGGAAAAAUCCAAAAAAAAUAUGAAAAAAAAAAUUAAAAUAUGUGAAUACGAUACUGACGAUAAUUCAAAAGAGCCUGGUGAAAAACGCGAAAACUAGAGUACAUAGAUUGCUGAAAAAAUAAAUUCUAAAACCAGUGAACUGCAAAAGGUAAAAAUGGUACAUUUAUUCUACGGUAUAUCCGUUCCGAAAAAAAGGUGGAAAGAUGCCCUCAGUGCCAAAACGAAAUAUGGAUUCGUACGAGAAAUUAUACAUUCGAUUUGUUAAGGUGGAUCUAUUCUAUCAAUAGCUGUACAAAGGCAUAGAACUGCAGAUAAGAAAAAUAGACAAGCAUUUACUCCUAAGAAAAAAGAAGCGUUACAUAAGGGUUAUGUUCAAUAUCUUCCGCAUAACGGCAGGAUCCCUAAAGUAAUUACGACGCAAGAAGAAAGAAAAAUGGCUGAAAGAAUAAUAGGUGGCUUUGGGCGUGCUUUAGGCACGGUUACUUACCAAGAAAGGAAAAAAUAGAUUGGAGCUAUAUUAAAAUUUUUUCGAUUAUUUAUUACUUGUAAUAUGUAUUUAUUUUUAUUAAUUGUAGACUUUCGCAGAAAUAUUCAGCAGAUAACUGCCAAAACGGGAUUGAAAUUUUAAUUUCUAGGCUGGCUUCGCCAUCUCCUUGAACGAUCAAAAUAAAAAAAACACAGAGCUAGUCACCUACUAAUCAACAAGAAUAAAUAUUUUUUUUUUUUAGCUUCUGUGAUUUGAAGGCUGUGUAGUGUCCUACGUAUAUUUAGGUAGGAUAAAUAAACAACUAGUAAUUUAAGUGUUUAACAUUUAUUAGCACCUCACACUAUCCGGUUCUCUCUUCGCCUCGUCGUGUACAUGUGUCGCACGCUGCGCAGUGUGUACCGACACUCACUCACACUCGACA